rnacentral:rRNA from 1 species
AUUGAACGCUGGCGGCAGGCUUAACACAUGCAAGUCGAGCGAGCGGCGGACGGGUGAGUAAUGUCUGGGAAACUGCCUGAUGGAGGGGGAUAACUACUGGAAACGGUAGUUAAUACCGCAUACCAUCAGAUGUUCCCAGAUGGGAUUAGCUCGUAGGUGGGGUAAUGGCGUACCUAGGCGACGAUCCCUAGCUGGUCUGAGAGGAUGACUAGCCACACUGGAACUGAGACGAAGGCCAGACUCCAACGGGAGGUAGCAGUGGGGAAUGUUGCACAAUGGGCGCAAGCCGGAUGCAGCCAUGCCGCGUGUGUGAAGAAGGCAUUCGGGUUGUAAAGCACGUUAAGCGAGGAGGCGUUACUCGCAGAAGAAGCACCGGCUAACUCCGUGCCAGCAGCCGCGGUAAUUC